rnacentral:rRNA from 1 species
AGAGUUUGAUCAUGGCUCAGAUUGAACGCUGGCGGCAGGCCUAACACAUGCAAGUCGAGCGGAUGAAGGGAGCUUGCUCCUGGAUUCAGCGGCGGACGGGUGAGUAAUGCCUAGGAAUCUGCCUGGUAGUGGGGGAUAACGUCCGGAAACGGGCGCUAAUACCGCAUACGUCCUGAGGGAGAAAGUGGGGGAUCUUCGGACCUCACGCUAUCAGAUGAGCCUAGGUCGGAUUAGCUAGUUGGUGGGGUAAAGGCCUACCAAGGCGACGAUCCGUAACUGGUCUGAGAGGAUGAUCAGUCACACUGGAACUGAGACACGGUCCAGACUCCUACGGGAGGCAGCAGUGGGGAAUAUUGGACAAUGGGCGAAAGCCUGAUCCAGCCAUGCCGCGUGUGUGAAGAAGGUCUUCGGAUUGUAAAGCACUUUAAGUUGGGAGGAAGGGCAGUAAGUUAAUACCUUGCUGUUUUGACGUUACCAACAGAAUAAGCACCGGCUAACUUCGUGCCAGCAGCCGCGGUAAUACGAAGGGUGCAAGCGUUAAUCGGAAUUACUGGGCGUAAAGCGCGCGUAGGUGGUUCAGCAAGUUGGAUGUGAAAUCCCCGGGCUCAACCUGGGAACUGCAUCCAAAACUACUGAGCUAGAGUACGGUAGAGGGUGGUGGAAUUUCCUGUGUAGCGGUGAAAUGCGUAGAUAUAGGAAGGAACACCAGUGGCGAAGGCGACCACCUGGACUGAUACUGACACUGAGGUGCGAAAGCGUAGGGAGCAAACAGGAUCAGAUACCCUGGUAGUCCACGCCGUAAACGAUGUCGACUAGCCGUUGGGAUCCUUGAGAUCUUAGUGGCGCAGCUAACGCGAUAAGUCGACCGCCUGGGGAGUACGGCCGCAAGGUUAAAACUCAAAUGAAUUGACGGGGGCCCGCACAAGCGGUGGAGCAUGUGGUUUAAUUCGAAGCAACGCGAAGAACCUUACCUGGCCUUGACAUGCUGAGAACUUUCCAGAGAUGGAUUGGUGCCUUCGGGAACUCAGACACAGGUGCUGCAUGGCUGUCGUCAGCUCGUGUCGUGAGAUGUUGGGUUAAGUCCCGUAACGAGCGCAACCCUUGUCCUUAGUUACCAGCACCUCGGGUGGGCACUCUAAGGAGACUGCCGGUGACAAACCGGAGGAAGGUGGGGAUGACGUCAAGUCAUCAUGGCCCUUACGGCCAGGGCUACACACGUGCUACAAUGGUCGGUACAAAGGGUUGCCAAGCCGCGAGGUGGAGCUAAUCCCAUAAAACCGAUCGUAGUCCGGAUCGCAGUCUGCAACUCGACUGCGUGAAGUCGGAAUCGCUAGUAAUCGUGAAUCAGAAUGUCACGGUGAAUACGUUCCCGGGCCUUGUACACACCGCCCGUCACACCAUGGGAGUGGGUUGCUCCAGAAGUAGCUAGUCUAACCGCAAGGGGGACGGUUACCACGGAGUGAUUCAUGACUGGGGUGAAGUCGUAACAAGGUA